GACAGAGGGUGCAAACGUUGUUCGGAAUUACUGGGCGUAAAGGGCCAGUAGGCGGCCAACUAAGUCGGAUGUGAAAUCCCCAGGCUUAACCUGGGAACUGCAUCCGAUACUGGAUGGCUUGAAUCCGGGAGAGGGAUGCGGAAUUCCAGGUGUAGCGGUGAAAUGCGUAGAUAUCUGGAGGAACACCGGUGGCGAAGGCGGCAUCCUGGACCGGCAUUGACGCUGAGGCGCGAAAGCCAGGGGGAGCAAAACGGG
rnacentral:rRNA from 1 species